GAUCUGCCUCCUGAGUCCUGUCUCCCAGGUCAAAGUCACAAGAAGCUCAUGGAAAGACCUGGAAGAAUUGGGCCAGCAGGCCUGCCAAGGGGUAGACGGCAAUUCCUGCAGUGUAGACAGCACGCUGAAGCAAGCAGGAGACACUAGUUUAAUUUCCAGCGCAAUGUGUGUAGAACAUCCUCGGAGCUGACUUUAAGACAGUCUCUUCCCUUCCCUGCCCAGCUACUGGGCAGGCUAGGAAGAGGAAGAGAAGUAUUUACAGGGCUCCUAGGUCCCUCCUGUCCGUCCACCUCACAGCUCACUUACUGUCCUCCUUAAGACACAA
ensembl:antisense Gm37707 predicted gene, 37707